rnacentral:tRNA from 2 species
GGGUAUAGUUUAGUUGGUAGAGCGACGGUCUCCAAAACCGUAGGUCGCGAGUUCGAGUCUUGCUGCCC